rnacentral:rRNA from 1 species
AUGUUCUCUGAUGAAAUCCACAUUGAUAUUGCUGCCCCGCGUCUUAUCUCACUGGAACUAGGUAAUUUUCUGAACUUGUCUCCUUCCUUUGAAGAGAUGCCAUUACUGGAAAAGGCAUCUAUUUUGCUUGGCGAUGAGUGUUGCAAUGUCUGUAAAAGUGACGAGGAGGAUUUUAGUGAUCUUACAUGUGGAUGUGCUAACAAGAAGUGUCUGCUUCUCAACGGAUUGUCCAAUGCUGUUGAUUUGAAAUUGAUUGCUGCGCCUGACUUGCUUAUCUUCAAAAGGGAUUUGGAAUGGCGCCCUAAAUUUGACAAAUUAAAGACUCUGGUACUCAAUGAUUGGUUUACGGCUAUUGACCUAGUUUGCAUUCUCCAACACUCGCCAAAUCUUGAGAAGCUCACUCUUAAGAUCGAUUUCCCUGAGAACUUUUUAGGAGCAACAGGAUCCAGGCAAUCAUUCGUGUGUCCGCCUCAUUUGGUUGUCAACAUUAAAUGUAGAAAAGUUGAUAACGGUGUUCGCAAGAUUUUGGAGGUCUUGAGUACAUGUGGCAUACUUCCUGAGCAGAUUAGCAUCAAGUGCCGCGAUCGCACUUAG